GUGUGAUCCCGCACAUCCACAAGUCUCUGAUUGGAAAGAAGGGACAGCAGAAAACCGCUUAGAGGGCUGUUUUACCCAGCCCUUCUCCUGUCACUGUACUGUAACUGGGACAGAAGAAAUAGUGGGGACAUGGGGGAUUUUUAAAAGAGGCUGAAGGAAAAGCUUAGACAAUUUCUGUAGACACAAUAAGAGACAUUUGUAUGUUCUUAGGCUCAAAGUUUGAUAAAGUACCUUUCCGUGUGGCAGCACUCGUGUGGUGAUUGGCUAGGUUUCUCCCGUGUGUUUUAUACAAAAAUGGAAUUGAUAAACCAUUUUUUACAAAAAGAAUCGGUCUCAAAACUGUUCUGUUCAUGAUGUGUUGGAAAUAUUUUGCUCAUACUUAGAAAUGUUUUAAAAUUUUGAAUCAGUUAUUCUAUAUUCAGAGUAAUCUUUAAAAAUUUUUUUUUUAACAUUUAUUUAUUUUUGAGAGACAGAGAUCAUGAGCAGGGAAGGGGGAGAGAGAGGGACCCACAGAAUCGGAAGCAGGCUCCAGGGUCUGAGCUGCCAGUACAGAGCCCGAUGCGGGGCUCCAACCCACAAACCGUGAGAUAUGACCUGAGCCGAAGUCGGACACUCAACCAACUGAGCCAGCCAGGUGUCCCUAUAUUCAGAAUAACCUUAAAACAGAGGAGAGGAACAGAGAGUGAGAAGGAGACAGAAUCCCAAGCAGGUUCCGAGCUGUCAGCACAGAGCCUGAUGUGGGACUUGAACUUACAAACCAUAAGAUUAUGACCUGAGCCAAAGUUGGACACUGAGCCACCCGGCACCCAAACAUGGUAUCUUACAGUCGGCACCCAAAACGGGGGCACCUAACACCUGCUGUGUGAAGACUGAUGGUCGGGCUAUGCCAGCCUGCUCCCCGGGGGGCUCACAGCGGCCACCAGCCUGCAGUGCCCAGAUGCAGCAUUCCAUGGGGGGCGCCGGCGGGGGACACGCUCGUCAUCCUUCUGCGUCCAGAAUUCCUACAGACCUUCUCUUUGGUUUACAAGUUUCAGGCAUGCAACUUCACGAUUCCACGGGUGUGCAGACUGGCACGACCGCCGUGAGGCCCAAUGAACAGCUUGCCCACACACUUAACACUCCGGUGAGGAGAGCUGUUCGGAUCCCUCUCCGCAGGUCUCAGCUCCGCCAUGGGGACCGUGGGCUGUGGGCACACAACAGCCCGCGGGUCCUCCCCGUGGUACAGUGGACCCCUGCACCCUCUCCGCUCGCUCCCCACCUCCAGCAACCAGCAACCUGUUCUCUGGAUCUAUGA
rnacentral:lncRNA from 1 species